rnacentral:tRNA from 1 species
UAUACUUUAGUGUAAAGCAUUUAAAAUUUUGAAUUUUAAGGUAUUAAGGAAAUUAAUAAGUAUAU